rnacentral:rRNA from 1 species
AUUGAACGCUGGCGGUAUGCCUAACACAUGCAAGUCGAACGGGGUAGCAAUACCUAGUGGCGGACGGGUGAGGAAUACGUAGGGAUCUGCCUUUAAGUGGGGAUAACCCGGGAAACCCGGAUUAAUACCGCAUGAUCUCGCAAGAGCAAAGAGGGGGACCGCAAGGCCUCUCGCUUUUAGAGGAACCUACGUCGGAUUAGCUAGUUGGUGAGGUAAUGGCUCACCAAGGCGACGAUCCGUAACUGGUCUGAGAGGAUGAUCAGUCACACCGGAACUGAGACACGGUCCGGACUCCUACGGGAGGCAGCAGUGGGGAAUAUUGGACAAUGGGCGAAAGCCUGAUCCAGCAAUACCGCGUGUGUGAAGAAGGCCUUCGGGUUGGUUAAA